rnacentral:rRNA from 1 species
AGAUUGAACGCUGGCGGCAGGCCUAACACAUGCAAGUCGAGCGGCAGCACGGGUACUUGUACCUGGUGGCGAGCGGCGGACGGGUGAGUAAUGCCUAGGAAUCUGCCUGGUAGUGGGGGAUAACGCUCGGAAACGGACGCUAAUACCGCAUACGUCCUACGGGAGAAAGCAGGGGACCUUCGGGCCUUGCGCUAUCAGAUGAGCCUAGGUCGGAUUAGCUAGUUGGUGGGGUAAUGGCUCACCAAGGCGACGAUCCGUAACUGGUCUGAGAGGAUGAUCAGUCACACUGGAACUGAGACACGGUCCAGACUCCUACGGGAGGCAGCAGUGGGAAUAUUGGACAAUGGGCGAAAGCCUGAUCCAGCCAUGCCGCGUGUGUGAAGAAGGUCUUCGGAUUGUAAAGCACUUUAAGUGGAGAAGGCAGUUACCUAAUACGUAUCUGUUUGACGUUACGUCAGUAAUAGCACGGCUAACUCUGUG